rnacentral:rRNA from 2 species
GACAGGUGGUGCAUGGUUGUCGUCAGCUCGUGUCGUGAGAUGUGGGUUAAGUCCCGCAACGAGCGCAACCCUUGUCUUAGUUGCCAUCAUUAAGUUGGGCACUCUAAAGAGACUGCCGAUGACAAAUCGGAGGAAGGUGGGGAUGACGUCAAAUCAUCAUGCCCUUUAUGUCCUGGGCUACACACGUGCUACAAUGGUCGGUACAACGAGAAGCAAGUCAGCGAUGGCAAGCAAAUCUCUAAAAGCCGAUCCCAGUUCGGAUUGCAGGCUGCAACUCGCCUGCAUGAAGUCGGAGUUGCUAGUAAUCGCGGAUCAGAAUGCCGCGGUGAAUGCGUUCCCGGGUCUU